UACGGAGGGGGCUAGCGUUGUUCGGAAUUACUGGGCGUAAAGCGCACGUAGGCGGCUUUGUAAGUUAGAGGUGAAAGCCCGGGGCUCAACUCCGGAAUUGCCUUUAAGACUGCAUCGCUAGAAUUGUGGAGAGGUAAGUGGAAUUCCGAGUGUAGAGGUGAAAUUCGUAGAUAUUCGGAAGAACACCAGUGGCGAAGGCGACUUACUGGACACAUAUUGACGCUGAGGUGCGAAAGUGUGGGGAGCGAACAGG
rnacentral:rRNA from 1 species